rfam:Ictidomys tridecemlineatus contig119754, whole genome shotgun sequence.
GGGAUUGUAGCUCAGUGGUAGAGUGCUUGCCUCACAUGCAUGAGGCCCCGGGUUCGACCUUCAGCACCA